GGAUAUAGCUCAGUGGUAGAGCACAUGCAUAGCAUAGCAUGCAUGAGGUCCUGGGUUCAAUCCGCAGUAUUUCCA
rnacentral:tRNA from 1 species